AUUGAACGCUGGCGGCAGGCCUAACACAUGCAAGUCGAGCGGUAGAGAGAAGCUUGCUUCUCUUGAGAGCGGCGGACGGGUGAGUAAUGCCUAGGAAUCUGCCUGGUAGGGGGGGAUAACGUUCGGAAACGGACGCUAAUACCGCAUACGUCCUACGGGAGAAAGCAGGGGACCUUCGGGCCUGGCGCUAUCAGUUGAGCCUAGGUCGGAUUAGCUAGUUGGUGAGGUAAUGGCUCACCAAGGCGACGAUCCGUAACUGGUCUGAGAGGAGGAUCAGUCACACUGGAACUGAGACACGGUCCAGACUCCUACGGGAGGCAGCAGUGGGGAAUAUUGGACAAUGGGCGAAAGCCUGAUCCAGCCAUGCCGCGUGUGUGAAGAAGGUCUUCGGAUUGUAAAGCACUUUAAGUUGGGAGGAAGGGUUGUAGAUUAAUACUCUGCAAUUUUGACGUUACCGACAGAAUAAGCACCGGCUAACUCUGUGCCAGCCGCCGCAGUAA
rnacentral:rRNA from 1 species